rnacentral:rRNA from 1 species
AAAUGAAUAGACGGGGGCCCGCACAAGCAGUGGAGUAUGUGGUUUAAUUCGAAGCAACGCGAAGAACCUUACCAGGGCUUGACAUAUAGAGGAAUAUAUUAGAGAUAAUAUAGCUCUUCGGAGUCUCUAUACAGGUGGUGCAUGGUUGUCGUCAGCUCGUGUCGUGAGAUGUUGGGUUAAGUCCCGCAACGAGCGCAACCCCUGUUUCUAGUUGCCAGCACAUAAUGGUGGGAACUCUAGAAAGACUGCCGGUGAUAAAUCGGAGGAAGGUGGGGAUGACGUCAAAUCAUCAUGCCCUUUAUGUCCUGGGCUACACACGUACUACAAUGGCCGCGACAGAGGGAAGCAAAGUAGUGAUACUAAGCAAAACCCAAAAAACGGUCUCAGUUCGGAUUGAAGGCUGAAAUUCGCCUUCAUGAAGCUGGAAUUGCUAGUAAUGGCAGGUCAGCAUACUGCCGUGAAUACGUUCCCGGGCCUUGUACACACCGCCCGU